rnacentral:rRNA from 1 species
GACGAACGCUGGCGGCGUGCCUAACACAUGCAAGUCGAACGGAAAGGCCCUGCUUUUGUUGCUUGCUCGAGUGGCGAACGGGUGAGUAACACGUGAGUAACCUGCACUUGUCUUUGGGAUAUCUUCAGGGAACUGGGGCUCAUACCGGAUAUGAUCUCCUGCUGCAUGUUGGUGGUUGGAAAGAUUCGGCGGUUCUGGCUCGACUCGCUGGUUACCCGCUUGUUUGUGGGGUAGUUGCUUUCAAAGGCUUUGACGGGUAGCCGACCUGAGAGGGUGACCGGCCACAUGGGUACUGAGAGACGGACCAGACUGCAACGGGAGGCAGCAGGGGAGAAUAUUGCACAAUGGGCGGAAGCCAGAGGCAGAAACGCCGCGAGCGGGAUGACGGCUUUCGGGUUGUAAACCGAUUUCGCAUGUGACGAAGCGUGAGUGACGGUAAUGGGUAAAGAAGCACCGGCUAACUACGUG